rnacentral:rRNA from 1 species
AGGAUGAACGCUGGCGGCGUGCCUAACACAUGCAAGUCGAACGUCCUGUCUCGCAAGAGGCAGGGAGUGGCGGACGGGUGAGUACCACGUGGGUCAUCUACCGUGAGGUGAGGAAUACCGGCGAGAAAUCGCCGACAAGACCGCAUAGCCUCGGUGCAAGUCGAGGAAAGCUCUCUCGAGAGAGGGAGCGCCACACGAGGAGCCUGCGCCCGAUUAGCUAGCUGGUGGAGUAAUGGUUCACCAGGGCGACGAUCGGUAGCUGGUCUGAGAGGACGAUCAGCCACACUGGGAUUGAGAACGGCCCAGACUCCUACGGGGGGCAGCAGUGAGGAAUUUUCGUCAAUGGGGGCAACCCUGAACGAGCAACGCCGUGUGCAGGAAGAAGGUUUUCGGAUCGUAAACUGCUUUUCUCGGGGAAGAGAACGGACGGUACCCGAGGAAUCAGCCCGGCUAACUACGUGCCAGCAGCCGCGGU